ACGCGUGGAACCUUACCAGGUCUUGACAUCCCCCUGACCGGUCUGGAGACAGAUCUUCCCCUUCGGGGGCAGCGGUGACAGGUGGUGCAUGGUUGUCGUCAGCUCGUGUCGUGAGAUGUUGGGUUAAGUCCCGCAACGAGCGCAACCCUUGAUCUUAGUUGCCAGCAUUCAGUUGGGCACUCUAAGGUGACUGCCGGUGACAAACCGGAGGAAGGUGGGGAUGACGUCAAAUCAUCAUGCCCCUUAUGACCUGGGCUACACACGUGCUACAAUGGAUGGUACAAAGGGCAGCAAAGCGGUGACGCCUAGCAAAUCCCAUAAAACCAUUCUCAGUUCGGAUUGUAGGCUGCAACUCGCCUACAUGAAGCUGGAAUCGCUAGUAAUCGCGGAUCAGCAUGCCGCGGUGAAUACGUUCCCGGGCCUUGCACUCACCGCCCGU
rnacentral:rRNA from 1 species